UUUGCUUCCUAGCAAUGCCGCGUGUGUGAAGAAGGCCUGCGGGUUGUAAAGCACUUUAAGCAGGGAGGACGGGAUGCGGGGCUAAUACCCUUGCGUCUUGACGUUACCUGCAAAAUAAGCACCGGCUAACUUCGUGCCAGCAGCCGCGGUAU
rnacentral:rRNA from 1 species